AGUGAACGCUGGCGGUAGGCCUAACACAUGCAAGUCGAACGGCAGCACAGGAGAGCUUGCUCUCUGGGUGGCGAGUGGCGGACGGGUGAGGAAUACAUCGCAAUCUACUCUGUCGUGGGGGAUAACGUAGGGAAACUUACGCUAAUACCGCAUACGACCUACGGGUGAAAGCAGGGGACCUUCGGCCCUUGCGCGAUUGAAUGAGCCGAUGUCGGAUUAGCUAGUUGGCGGGGUAAAGGCCCACCAAGGCGACGAUCCGUAGCUGGUCUGAGAGGAUGAUCAGCCAAACUGGAACUGAGACACGGUCCAGAGUCCUACGGGAGGCAGCAGUGGGGAAUAUUGGACAAUGGGCGCAAGCCUGAUCCAGCCAUACCGCGUGGGUGAAGAAGGCCUUCGGGUUGUAAAGCCCUUUUGUUGGGAAAGAAAUCCAGCUGGCUAAUACCCGGUUGGGAUGACGGUACCCAAAGAAUAAGCACCGGCUAACUUCGUGCCAGCCGCCGCAGUAA
rnacentral:rRNA from 1 species